rnacentral:rRNA from 1 species
AUGGAAACCCUAAUGGUGGACCGCGUCCACAGCAGCCUCCGCCUCUUCAUGAACCGCAACGCCGUCUUCCUCUGCGAGCGCCUCUGCGCCCAGUUCCCCGCCGAGACCAAUGUGCAGUUGCUAGCGACUUGCUACCUUCACAACAACCAGCCCUAUGCUUCAUACCACAUUUUGAAAGGUAAGAAGCUGCCGGAGUCUCGAUACUUGUUUGCUAUAUCAUGCUUUCGAAUGAACCUACUGCGGGAAGCUGAAGAAACUCUGUGUCCAGUCAAUGAACCAAAUGUUGAGGUUCCAAGUGGUGCGACAGGACAUUACCUUCUUGGACUAAUUUACAGGUACACUGGCAGAGUGGCAGCUGCAGCCGAGCAAUUUACACAAGCUUUGACUCUAGAUCCUCUUUUGUGGGCGGCAUAUGAGGAAUUGUGUAUACUAGGAGUUGCUGAAGAUGCAAAUGAAUGUUUUACCGAAGCAACUGCUCUACGUCUCCAGCAGGAACAAACAUCUACAUCAAAUCUGGAGAAGUCAAACUUUGUCAAUGAAAAUCGAGUUCUAUCUCCCAAUGUAUCAGCAAGCCUUGUGGAUAUCAGCCCUAAGCACAUAAAACAAUUGCCUGCUAACAACACAGCUGAAGUGCCUGGUUAUCCUCAUCUAAGAGCAACUGCAUUGCACGUGCAGAACACUGUACCAUCUAAUGUAGGACAGUUUGACAGUCCAUCACCAACUGUAACACAGACCUCUGGCAUCGUUCCACCACCACUCUUUAGGAAUCUCCAUGCCUAUCAGAAUACAACAAGUGGUGAUGCUCCGGCCAAACCAAAGGUUAAUGCAGUGAACCAACCACCUAGAAGAAAAUACUUGGAUGAAGCAAGGCUGAAGAAGGUCACUGGAAGGCUCUUUAAUCCGAGUGGUGAUUCAGUACCUCGAAGAAGUGCAAGACUAUCUAGGGAUACACCAAUAAAUUCGAAUUCCAAUAUAUCUCAGUUUGGAGGAAAUGGAUCAGAUCACUCGUCAGGUAAAUUGCGAGUAAACUCGUCCACACCAUCAAAAUUGUGUUCAACAGCCAUACGUUCUGUGCAAGUUAGGAAAGGAAAGCCACGGGCUACAGAAAAUUUUGAUGAAGGAAGCAGGUAUGAAGCUGUUGAUGAGAUGUGGACAGAUAAUAUAGCAGCAACUUCAUCUUCUUUAAGUAUAGCUGAAGGAAGGUACUUUGAGCAAGAUAAAGCUGAGCGAACCCUGUCACAAGACUCCAAAAUGGCGACUGGUAUCAAGGAGCUAUUGGGACUUUUACGGACACUUGGGGAAGGCUAUAGGCUAUCUUGCUUGUUUAAGUGCCAGGAAGCACUGGAAAUCUACAGAAAACUCCCAGAGCCACAAUUUAAUACGGGAUGGGUCUUAUGCCAGGUUGGGAAGGCAUAUUUUGAAUUGGUCGAUUAUUUAGAAGCUGAUCAUUUCUUUGAGUUAGCGCAUCGAUUAUCACCAUGCACGUUGGAGGGAAUGGACAUAUACUCUACUGUUCUUUAUCAUUUGAAUGAGGAAAUGAGGCUAAGUUACCUUGCUCAGGAGCUUAUUUCUGUUGAUCGACUAUCUCCUCAAGCAUGGUGUGCAGUGGGAAAUUGCUUUGCCUUGCGGAAAGAUCAUGAGACUGCUUUGAAGAACUUCCAGCGUGCUGUACAGCUUGACUCAAGAGUAGCAUAUGCUCACACUCUAUGCGGUCACGAAUAUUCUGCAUUGGAGGAUUACGAGAACAGUGUUAAAUUCUACCGAUGUGCACUUCAGGUAGAUGAAAGGCACUACAAUGCCUGGUAUGGGCUUGGAGUAGUUUACCUUCGCCAGGAAAAGUUUGAGUUUGCUGAGCAUCAUUUUAGAAGGGCAUUUCAGAUAAAUCCCCGCUCUUCUGUUCUUAUGUGCUAUCUUGGGAUGGCCUUACAUGCUCUAAAGAGAGAUGAGGAUGCAUUGGAGAUGAUGGAGAAAGCCAUAUUUUCUGAUAAGAAGAAUCCACUUCCUAAGUAUCAGAAGGCUUUAAUUCUGGUAGGCCUUCAAAAAUAUCAGGAGGCUCUGGAUGAGUUGGAACGGCUAAGGGAGAUUGCACCUCAUGAGAGUAGUAUGUAUGCACUUAUGGGCAAGAUAUACAAGCAACUCAAUAUUCUCGACAAGGCUGUAUUUUGCUUUGGCGUUGCCCUUGAUUUGAAACCUCCCGCUGCCGACCUUGCUAUAAUCAAGUCUGCAAUGGAGAAAGUACACCUUCCAGAUGAACUGAUGGAGGAUGAUGACCUGUAA